GCCUACCAUGGUGGUAACGGGUAACGGGGAAUUAGGGUUCGAUUCCGGAGAGGGAGCCUGAGAAACGGCUACCACAUCCAAGGAAGGCAGCAGGCGCGCAAAUUACCCAAUCCCGACACGGGGAGGUAGUGACAAUAAAUAACAAUACGGGGUUCUUUCGGAUCUCGUAAUUGGAAUGAGUACAAUUUAAAUCUCUUAACGAGGAACAAUUGGAGGGCAAGUCUGGUGCCAGCAGCCGCGGUAAUUCCAGCUCCAAUAGCGUAUAUUAAAGUUGUUGCAGUUAAAAAGCUCGUAGUUGAAUUUCGGGGUCAGCAGGUCGGUCGUGCCACUGGUAUGAACUGGCCUCGCUGAUCCCUCCCUCUUGACGAACUGUGAUGCCAUUAAUUUGGUGUCGCAGGGAAUCAGGACUGUUACUUUGAAAAAAUUAGAGUGUUUAAAGCAGGCUCACGCUUGAAUACAUUAGCAUGGAAUAAUGAAAUAGGACGUUUGAUCCUAUUUUGUUGGUUUCUAGGAUUGACGUAAUGAUUAAUAGGGAUAGUUGGGGGCAUUAGUAUUCAAUUGUCAGAGGUGAAAUUCUUGGAUUUAUUGAAGACUAACUACUGCGAAAGCAUUUGCCAAGGAUGUUUUCAUUAAUCAAGAACGAAAGUUAGGGGAUCGAAGACGAUCAGAUACCGUCGUA
rnacentral:rRNA from 1 species